rnacentral:lncRNA from 1 species
GUUGUCCAGCCAUAACUGCAACUGUUUUUAGAUGACAUAAGUUGUAUUACACAUCCACAGAAACACGCCACCUGAUCAGCCAGAAAAUUAUCUCUUAAAUCUAAGACUUCAACUAUGAGUUUUCUAUUUUCACACACAGUGGGGGUUAGAAUACUGACAAGAAAGGUAUUAUGUAAAACUACACCAAUGAAUUAUUGAAGCUGGAGGCUAUUUGACCUAAAAAAGGAAAAAAAAAAUCUAAAUAACCAGUAAGGAAUAGCUAGCAUUUAAACUGGGGAUUACAUAAUUCCAGAUACUGAUC